rnacentral:tRNA from 1 species
GUUUCUGUAGUGUAGUGGUUAUCACGUUCGCCUAGCACGCAAAAGGUCCCUGGUUUGAGACCAGGCGGAAACA